UUUCAACCCCCACCCCCACCCCCACCCCCAGGAAGAUGAGAGCAAGGUAAACUCCCGAGCCACAACUACCUCAUCUACAAAGUGGGCUACCUUCCUCUCGCGGGGCAGCAGCUCACCAGGGCCUGGGCUCAGAGGCCAGACCAGCUUCCCUUGCUGUGAAGCUGGGAGCAUCCUACUGUGAUGGAGGUGUGGCUGACCCUCUCUGGGCACAUAUCCUACCCUUCCUCCUCCUUCACAGCCUGCUUAAGGGGGAUUGGGAUCAUUAGGCAGAUCCAAACUGUGGUUUGGAGCUUUCGGGAAAACAAGCCCCAUCAAUGCAAUUUCCUUGUUAA
rnacentral:antisense_RNA from 1 species